CAUGACGUUUUUUGAAAAAGUGUAAUGAUGAAUCUGUUUGGGAACUUGAGAUUAUAAAAGCUUGGAAAUAGUGGAAUUAAAUGACAUGGCAUCGAAAUAUUGGUUGACAACAAAUGAUUGUUUCUCCAGAGUAGUCGAAACAUCUUUGCUGGGGGGCAAUUUGUAUACAUGUAUUUUUGACGCCAUGAAAUUAAUAAGCAGAAUAGUGUUUUCG
rnacentral:lncRNA from 1 species